UACGAAGGGUGCGAGCGUUAUUCGGAAUUAUUGGGCGUAAAGGGUGCGUAGGCGGCAUAUUAAGUCAACUGUUAAAGCCCCCAGCCUAACUGGGGAUCGGCGGUAGAUACUGAUGUGCUAGAGGGUGGAAGAGAGAAGUGGAAUUCUUGGAGUAGCGGUAAAAUGCGUAGAUCUCAAGAGGAACACCGAUGGCGAAGGCAGCUUCUUGGUCCACAUCUGACGCUGAUGCACGAAAGCGUGGGGAGCAAACAGG
rnacentral:rRNA from 1 species